CGCCUUCAGAUUCAAUAUUGGAGGUCUGGUCUGCCCAGUGUAAUUAAUUAACGGCCGCGGUAUUCUGACUGUGCAAAGGUAGCAUAAUCACUUGCCCUUUAAAUGGGGGAAUGUAUGAAUGAUUAGACGAGGUUUUUACUGUCUCUUCCUUAUAAAUUGAGAUUACAAUACUUGUGAAAAUGCGGGUAAGGUAAUAAAGGACGAGAAGACCCUGUUGAGCUUUUAAGCUAAACUAUAGUACAGGUUAAGUUAAGUAAUAAUUUACAGUUAAAACGAGUAAUUUUUUGUAGGCUUUUUGGCUGGGGUGGCAAGCAAAGAUAUUAAGCUUUGUUGUAGUAUACAUUUUGUAUUUCUAGAUAAUAUAUAUCUAUAAAUAAUUAAAUUGAUCCGUUAAAAUAGAACGAUUAAAAGAAUAAGUUACCACAGGGAUAACAGCGUAAUUCUUUUUGAGAGCUCGAAUUGACAAAGGAGUUUGCGACCUCGAUGUUGGAUCAAGAUUCCUAGCGGUGUAGCAGCUGUUACGGGUUUGCCUGUUCCGCGAUUAAUAUCU
rnacentral:rRNA from 1 species